rnacentral:lncRNA from 1 species
GGCCAGGAAAAAGCCAGCAGCAGCCAGGCAGGGGAGAGUGUGCAUCCGACAUCCUCCUGUGUGGUGAAGGGAUGACACCUCUUCCCUCUGGGCUGUCAGCCUUUACUGUUCCAGGAUACAGAUCUCCUGAUUCAGUGUCCAGUGCCUUUUGAACUGACCGCAAGCCCUCCUGGACGAUUGGAGCUGUAAUGUGGAAAGGGCUCUGAUGGAGCCGGUUAAAAUGCUUCAUUAUCUGCAGAAUACCACAUACAGUAAUACGAUCUGGAUGUCUUUCCCCUCCUCCACUAAGUAGCAUAAGUGAAGACUUCCCAGAGGAAGUGCACCUUUUUCAUCUCGUAUCUGAGUCAUGGCCAACAGUGUUGCAAACAGGAACCCGAGGUGUUCACUUCACUGUUGAAGGAACAAGAGGGCAUCUGCUGAAGUUUCAGAUUCCGUA